CCUCCAAUCAAAGCCACCAGCAGGAGGCAGGCACACCACCGGGAAAGCCCCAGAAACGAACAAAGCCUAGGCUCGGUCCACUCGAGGACUUCUGGCUAGGGCUACCCCGUGGAAGAGCUGGCUGCUCCAGGCAGCGAGGAAGGAAGGCGAAAGAAAGGGGAUGGCUGGAAGUGUGCAGAUUUGAUCCAGUGUUCCAGACUGUCAAGCUCUUUUUUUGGAUCCUUACUCUGUCAUCUAAUGUGUUAGCUAUCUCUUCCAGCUUGUGCCAUCUGCAAAUCUGAUAAGCCUGCCAUCUAUGACUUCACCCAAGUCAUUGAUAAAAAUGUUAAACAGCACAGGGCAAUGCCCAGAUCCCUGAGGCUCUCAGAACUCAACACACUUUUAUUAAGCACCUACCUACUACAUGCCAGGUACAGUGCUAAACUCUGGGGAUGCAAAGACAAAAAGUGAAACAGUCCCUGUCCUCAAGGAUCUUACCUUCUGAUGAAGGAGAUGACAUAUACAUUUGCAGAGUUAUCCGAGUCCAGUUGCAAAACAAAAUUCAAGACGACUGGUGAUAGCCCAGGAUGCAGUGGGUGACCUUGGCAUCUUCAAAGUCUGACCAAGCUCUACACACUCCACAGCGCCUGCUUCAGCAGCCUUCAUAGCCAUUGGAACAAACCAUUCUCAUCGCCUAUUCUGCCAGGGGAAGCCUUCACAUGUUUGAGGUAUUUGAAGGAUUGUCAUAUAGAAGAGGGCAGACCUGGAGCAAUGAGGAGGGAUUGCAGAACAGCAAAUUUAGGCUUUCCAAAAAUGAGAGGUAUAGAAAUAUGGAAUGAGCUUUUCCUGGAGGUCAUGGUUCCCCAUUACUGGAGGUCUUCAAAGGAUGGUCAGAUGACUAUUUCUUGGGAAGGCUAUAAAGGAUAUUCUUUCUUCAGGUAGAAGUUGGACCAGAUGACUUUUUUUUGUGUUUUGGUUUUUUUUUUUUGGGUGAGGCAAUUGGGGUUAAAUGACUUGCCCAGGGUCACACAGGUAGUGUUAAGUGUCUGAGGCUGGAUUCGAACUCAGGUCCUCCUGACUCCAGGGCUUGUGCUCUAUCUACUGCACCACCUAGCUGCCCCUUGACCAGAUGACUUUUGAGCUCUAUCCUGCAGCUUGAAGAUCCUAUGACAUGUAAGGAGACCUCUGGCUUUGAAACUGUAGCAUCAUCUCUGACUUCAUCUUCCUCAUGCCUGUUUGUUAAGCUCAGAAUCACAGAAUUUCAGAUUUGGAAAGGACUUCAAUUGCCAACUAGCUCAAGCCCUCCCUCCCAACUUAAUCCCUUUACAAUAUAAUUUCUCAUCUAAUUUUUUAAAGGCCUCCAGUGAGGAGACACCUCUUACCUCCUAAGGCAGACCACUAACUAUAUUUUUAGAUAGCUUUCAUUGUUAGAAAGUUUUUCCUUACAUCAAGCCUAAAUUCACUUCUUUGCAACUUCUGUCCAUUUCUCCCAAAUAAAACAAGCUUAAUACCUUCUCUACAUUCUAAUCUUCCAAGAACUUGAAAGAAGCAAUCAUGUUUUCUCUCAAUUGUCUCUUCUCUGAACUAAAUAACCCCAAUUUCUCCAAUCAAUUUUCAUAAGAAAUGUAUUCAAAUUCCUUCAUUAUCCUGAUUUCCUUCCUCCAGUUGAUCAAACCAAUCAGUCGAUAAGCAUAUUUUGUCAUCUACUGCCAGGCAUUGUAGUUAGUAUUGAAGCUCCCCUCAAGGAAAUUAUAUUCAAUUGAGCAAUCUCUAUCUUAUCAAUUUCCUUCCUAAAAGUUGGCACCCAUAAUUAAUUUAUUGCUACAGAUAGUAUUUCUAGCACUACAUCAAAUAGUAGUGGGGGGGGGGGAGAGAGGAACAGCUAGGUGACACAGUGGACAAAGCACCAGCCCUGGAUUCAGGAGGACCUGAGUUCAAAUCUGGCCUCAGAUAUUUGAUACUUACUAGCUGUGUGACCGUGGGUAAGUCACUUAACCCUCAUUGCCCCAUCAAAAAAAUAAAGUAGUGGUAGUCAUGGACACCUUGUUUUACUUCUAAUAUUGGAAAGGCCUCUAGUUUUUUGUGUUUUUUUCCUCCAUUAUAUAAAAAGCUAGCUCUUGGUUUUAAAUAGUAUUACUUACCACACCGAGAAAAAGUCCGUUUAUUCCAUAUGUUCUAGUUUUUAUUCAAGAGAAAUGGCUAUUGUGUUUUGUCAAAAGUCUUUUCUGAAUCUGUUGAUAUAAUUACAUGUUUUUUAUUGUUAUUAUUAUUAAUAUGGUCUGUUAUGUUUAGUCUUCCUAAUAUUGAAACAACCUUGCAUUUCUAGUGUAAAUCCAACUUAGUCAUAGUAUAUAAUCUUUUUUGACACGUUAUGGUAGCCUACUUACUAAAAUUUUAUUCAAAAUAUUUGCUUCAAUGUUAAUAAGAGAUAUUGAUCUAUGGCUUUCUUUCUCUAUUUUAAAUCUCCUUGGUUUGGGUCUCAAGACCAUAUUUGUAUCAUAGAAAGAAUUUAG